rnacentral:lncRNA from 1 species
UUGGCCCUUCGGUUUAUCAUGUAAUUUUGUUAUAUUGAGUACUUGUUUCUUUGGAAUCUGAUUUUAGCUAGGAUAGAUAAUAGAGAUGUAGAGCCAAUGCUUCAUUUGGCAGGAAGGAAUUAAGGAAACAUACUGGAAGCUUACAACAUGACCUACACGAAGACUGGGACAUCUUCUAGGAAAGCCAUCAGUUCAGAUUGGGGUUUCACAGAACUGAUGGAAUUUGAAGUGCAUGUGAGCUAGCUUGGAUAUCAAAAUGGACCUACCACAACACAUACACUUGCCAUAUCCAAAUUAGAUGCUUUACAAAAAAAGACCACCACUUGUCACUGAGAAAUUACAUAUACUCAACUUGCUUGUUUUCUAUGCAUCAUGCGUUGCAAAAUGCCAUAUAAGUGAGAACUGUAUUUAAGUCGUCGAAGUGUGUAGCAAAGGACAAA